GUGGAUAUAGCUCAGUAGCAGAGCCCAUGCUUAGCAUGCACGAGGUCCUGGGUUCAAUUCCCAGUAUCUCCA
rnacentral:tRNA from 1 species